UUGAGACUUAUUUUAAAUCAAAGAAUCACAUAUUUUGUAAUGCAUUUAGAGCUACUUUCCACUGAACAAAUAAUUCUGAAAACAAAAGGUGUUGGUGCAUCAUUUCUGGAAGAGAGGUUUUGAAUGAUACUUUUUUAGUGCUGUGAGCAUCACAAAUAACUGUGGCAGAAAUCUUAGACAUAUCUCCAAACCAGACUUAUCUGCAUAUAGAUACAACUAACUAGAGGGAUUCUGAUGCCCAUAGAAAAGCUGUCAUGGUACAGACACAAACUGGAUGCUAUGGUGCUGCAGUCACAAGCCAACAGGUUAAGUUCCAUGCCAUGCAAAUGGACAGUCUCCUGUGGGAAGAAAUAUGUGCCUGAGGGACUGUAGCCAGGGAUCAGGUCAUGCUGCUCUACUGUGAGAGAAUAAGAGUUGAGGCUUUCUUCAUGUAAACCAGAUGUCUCUGCUUUCCAUCUCAGCUCAGACUACUGAGACCCUGAAUGCUGGCUGAUAGGCUUGAAGUCCAGCCUGAAGCAACGCACUGCUUCUGAUUCAAGUGACAACAUCAGCUUGGUGACCUUAGCAGCUUUCCAUGGACACAUUGAUUUUUCUCCCACAUUACAGAUAAUUGCUGGAUGCUGUGAAUCCUAUCCUCCCAGGGCGGUAGGGAGGAGCUUCUAUAGUGUGUUGACACGAGAGUGGCUAUCUGAUUUGAGGAAUGUGAUAUCCUGGGAUCUCAUUGACUGCAAUUGAUUUCUAUGUACUUCCUGUCUAUGGUAUGAGUAUAUUUGACAACUUAUCGGGAGAGUUGUUUUUAUGCCUGUUGGGGUUCAGAGUCCUCUAUUUUACUGUCAGUAAAUUGAAAAUAUAAUGAUGGAUGAUGUUCUGAAAAAGGCAUUUUCAUUAAAUAGUGCACAUUAAUGUUAAUGUUUGAUCUAAAGAGUAAAAACACUUUAAUGAGAGAAAGAUCUUUAUGCAACUCUGUUAAUGGCUUUCUAAUUUGUUUAAUUAAUUAUGAUUUAAGCUGGGUAAAUGCAACUUUGGCAUUCUUCUGUGAUGGUAAAAAAGACACUUAUCCUGAUUCAGAUUUGUAGCCAAAUAGCGUAAAUUACAUCAUUGGAUUGAAUGUCGUCAACGGCUUUUACAAAUACAUCUGUAACCUUUAGUGAGGGCCAAGUAGUAGCUCUUGCUGUGUUAAUAUGAGUUUUCCUGUUCUGCAUGGAGCAACUCUCAUCAUUUUAUGCA